GGUUGUCAUAGCGACCAUUUUACGUUUACUGGUUUGUAGUGUCUAACCAGGGGGCCUGGCGACUGCCGGGGCCGCGCUGCCCGCAUUCUCCGUCGGCUUCCUGCGGCCGAAAGGCCCGAGCAGGCCGGGGAGUCUGGCCUAGGCAUCCGCGUCGCCCGGUACGGGCGGGAUGGCUGCGGAAGAAGAGGACGAGGUGGAAUGGGUGGUGGAGAGCAUCGCUGGGUUCCUGCGGGGCCCGGAUUGGUCCAUCCCCAUCUUGGACUUUGUAGAGCAGAAAUGCGAAGUUUUUGAUGAUGAAGAAGAAAGCAAAUUGACCUAUACAGAAAUUCAUCAGGAGUACAAAGAGCUAGUUGAAAAGCUGUUAGAAAGUUACCUUAAAGAAAUUGGAAUUAAUGAAGAUCAGUUUCAAGAAGCAUGCACCUCCCCUCUGGCAAAGACACGUACAUCACAGGCCAUUUUGCAGCCCGUGUUGGCAGCGGAGGAUUUUACUAUCUUUAAAGCAAUGAUGGUCCAGAAGAACAUUGAGAUGCAGCUUCAAGCCAUCCGAAUAAUCCAGGAGAGGAAUGGUGUGUUACCCGACUGCUUAACUGAUGGCGCCGAUGUAGUCAGUGAUCUUGAACAGGAAGAGAUGAAAAUCCUGAGGGAGGUCCUCAGAAAAUCAAAAGAAGAAUAUGACCAGGAGGAAGAAAGGAAACGAAAAAAGCAGUCAUCAGAGGCUAAAAUGGAAGAACCACCAGUGUAUACUACUGAAGCUGCAAAACUGAGUAAUUCCCAAGGGGAUGGUGAACAUUUUGUACAGCCACCCUCAGAAGUUAAAGUGCAUUUUGCUAAUCAGUCAGUACAACCCUUGGCAAGAAAGAUGGAGCUGUUGCCUGAAACUUCCUCCCUCCCACAAAAAGGUCUGAAGAUUCCUGGUUUAGAACAUUCAAGCAUGGAAGGACCAAUAGCAAAUUUGUCAGCACUUGGAACAGAAGAGUUACGGCAACGAGAGCAUUAUCUCAAGCAGAAGAGAGAUAAACUGAUGUCCAUGAGAAAGGACAUGAGAGCAAAACAGAUCCAGAAUACUGAGCAAAAAGGAAAGCCUACCAGGGAGGUGGAGGAAAUGACAGAGAAGCCAGAAAUGACAGCAGAGGAGAAACAAACAUUACUAAAGAGGCGAUUGCUUGCAGAGAAACUUAAAGAAGAAGUUAUUAAUAAGUAAUAUGAAGAGUUAGCGAAACAGAAGUCCAAGUUUUCUUAAAAAUAAAUUAUUUAAUCCUUAAACAAAGACUGUUAGUUUUAAGCAAAUACCUGCUUUUCUAAAUGCAAUUAUAAACUCAUUAUUAUUAUUUUAAACAGGUAAAGGGUAAGAGGGAAGGCAGUUUAACAGAAAUUCCUGCAUAGAGCCAGGUUAUGGUGGUAUGUGCCUAUAAUCCUAGCACCCAGGACGCUGAACAGGAGGGUCAGGAGUUCAAGGUCAUUCUCAGUAACAAAGCAAACUGGAGGCCAGCCUAGGUUACAUGAACCUAUCCUAACCAAAAUAAACAAAUAAAUAAAUAAAAAGAAUUUGAAUGUUUUCUCUUCAAAAGGGGCUACAGAAAGAAAUUAGUUGAUAGUGCAUGCUUUCAUUCGUCCUUACUAGACACUGUUUGUGCUAAGCAUGAUACACAUAGUCGUCAACCAGACUGACAGACAGGGUUCUUGCUUUCAUGGGGCUAUCGAAGGCCCAAAGAGCAGUAUUAAAAGGGUAAAGUGCAGUGAUAACAUGGCAGGCUGGCUGUGCUGCCUUGGGCAAGUAAGCUGUCAACUGAUCAGGUGUUUACAGAAAAGAGGGUAUACAGUAAUUUAGAAACACAUGCCUUGAAGCUGAACCAGAACAUGUGUGAAUAGGAGGGCUAGCAUAUGAAAGGUGACAGACAGCAGGUUAGAGUAAUGUGGAAAGCCUUGUGGGGAAUUGGAAACUUCCAUUUUUAAAGGUGUGGCUGCUGCAGCAAGACAGGUGAACUACUGUGGUUUUAGGUUUACCCAGUAUGAUGCAAUCCAAAGGCAGUAUCUUGGACAAAGGUAAGAGAGCUUUAUAUUUAAAGGACAAACAAGCCUUGUAAAAUAAAUGUGGGAGAAUUAUAACCUUUUCUAUAAAUGUUGCAAUGAAAACAGACAAAAGGAUCAACUGACGGACUAAACCUGUUGAGGAAAAUGCUACUUACCAUUUGGUCUUUCUAAGGCCCUGGAAAAAAUUCUAGUCUCUUUGCUUAAAGGUAAUCAGAAUGAUCUUGCUUUCCAAAACUUAGUUACAAUUUAUACCCACCUUUUUCUAGUUACUGAACAUUCUUUUUUUUUUUUUAAACAGACAUUUUGUAUUUAUAUGGGCAUGCAUAUGCCAUUGUGCCUGUGGAGGUCAGGGGGCAAUUUGUACUGUGUUGAGUUCCAGGGAUCAAACAGGCUUGGCAGCAAAUUCCUUUACCCACUUAGCAAUCUUGCUGGCCUCAACUGGGGUUUUUCUGAAAUUUCAUCUUAUCUGCUUGAAUCUAAAAUUAUACUUUAAGCUCCAACCUUCAAACUUCAGAAAAACCAGUGAUGAAAACACAUCAGUUUCACACAACUUUUUAUUAAAAAUAGCUUUUUAUUAGGUACAUGUUUACAGGUAUUUUUAGGACCUAAGGCAUACACAUGUGUGCUCUGACUUGAACUGAGUGGACAUAAUGCACCCCAGCCUGCAUCAGGGUCGUCACUUAGGACAGAGGCUAAUGUGGAAUCUUCCUAGUUGUGCCUUCCAAGGAUCCAUUCAUCUUGAAGAGACUGUGGCCUGCUGUUGCAUAUGCCAUGCUAGCUGAUCUGAAGCUUGUGGGGAUUUUCAUGGCUCCUCCCAUCUUGCAGUGGGAAUGCUGGAAUAACCAAGGGCACCUUUUAUGAGUCCCUGGGAUUCUGAAGCUGGAUCAUCUUCAUGCUUUCACAGCAAGCCUUUGCUCAUGGAUCAUCUUUUCUGGGGAUUCUCAUGGCUCCUCCCAUUGCAGUGGGAAUGCUGGCAUAACAAAGGCACCUUGUGUGGGUUCCUGGGAUUCUGAACCCAGACCUUCUUUCUCACAGCAAGCGCUUUACCUAUGAACCAUCCCUUCAGCUCUUUGCUGUGCUUUUUUUAUUUGUCUCAGUAAUGAUGCCAAACAUUUUCUCAUGUGCUUAUUUAGGUUAUUUGUAUAUUUAUUUCCUUUGGAGAAAUGUCUGUGUAUGUCCUUUGGAGUUUGAUUACUGGUAAAAGUCCUUGAUAUGCUCUGGAUCCAACUUCUUAUAGGCUUUGCAACUCAUGUGGUGGUCUAUCCUUUUUACUUAAUACCAGUGUAAUUUCUGAUCAUGAUGCCAUCUUUUUUUCUUUUGUCAUAUAUGCUUUGGGUAUUAUAUAUAACUACCUAAUUUAAGGUCAUGGCUGUUUAUUCCUGUUUUCUGAGAUCUCUGUAUUUAUGUUUAGGUCUUUUAAGUUUGUAUUAAGUGAGUUAGGAGUUGAGUAUCUUUCUUGCAUGUGGUUAACCAAUAUGUAGUAUUUGUUGAAAAGAAUUUUUCUUUUUUCUAAUAAAAUUUAUUUAUUUUUGUUAUUUUGAGACAGGGUUUCUCUGUGUAACAGCCAGCCCUAGCUGUCCUGGAACUUGCUUUGUAAACUAGGCUGGCCUCAAACUCAGGGAUCUGCCUGCCUUUGCCUCCUAAGUGCUGGGGUUAAAGGCAUAAACCACCACGCCUGGUGAUUUAUUUUUAUUUUCUGUGCAUUGGUGUUUUGCCUGCAUGUUUAUCUGUGUGAAGGUGUCAGAUACCCUGGAAUUGGAGUUACAGUCAGUUGUGAGCUGACAUAUGGGUACUAGAAAUUGACCCUGGGUCCUAUUUUUAACUGCUGAGCCCUCCAGCCCUGAAAACAAUUUUUCUUAUUGAACUAUCUCACACCUUUUUUAAAACCUGCCAUUCUUCCUCCUCUGUAGUACUCCCCACCUCACCUUACCCCUGCCCCAAUUCCUGAGACCUUCAUGACUCAUGAUACUUCUGCCUGGCAGCCUCCUAAAUAGCUUGGACUGCAGAGGCAGGUAAUCAUAGCUUCUAGGGUGUUUUCUUGUUUUGAGACGAGCUUGUCAUGCAGAUGGGAACUCAGCAUACAGCACACACUAUCUUCAAAGCUGGAACAUGGUUGCCACAGAUUCCCAACUGCUGGGAUUACAGGCAUGUGCAACCAUGCCUGGUUAGUUUUUGUUUUGUUUUGUUUAUAUGAAAGAAAAUCCAAUAACCACCAGGCACAUAAGGAGUAAAGGAUCAAAAAAAAAAAAAAAUAACUAAAUUAACUGUAAAAGAGGAUGAUCUUUUUUUCUCCCUGCAAAGGAGUAAAUUAUAACCAAUUAUAGUUUGAAGUAUACAAGCACAUUUUACCAUAUAAUAAGAAAUUAUACAGUAAUAGUUUUGGUUGUUUCAGGAAAUGCACUAAUACCUUACAAUCAUGGUUAAAUAAUAGUAGUGACAGCAACAUUCUGUCUUGUUCCUGAUUAAGUGGGAAUAUCCCUAAUAUUUCCUAAGUACAAAACUAACUUUUGGUGUUAGACAGUAUGUUAAGAAAUUAUCCAUUUGUUCCUAUUUUAUUGAGUAUUUGCACUUGGAAAUAGGGUAAUGCAAAUUCUAUUGCAGACAAAUGUACAAUCAGAAAUGAUAUAUGUAAAGUUCACUUUGCUAUGAUGCUUAUAACUGCAAGAAACUGUGGUAAUUCUCAGUAACAGGGGUUAGUUAUUCAUCUUUUUAAAUUCUACCCGCAGUCUUUUUAAACAUUCUGACUUGGAAAGCUUACUAAAAGUAAUAUAUAGGGUGUCCUUCUUUAUUCUAUAGCAGAAGUAGUGUUUGUUUUAGCAUCUACCAAUAGUUUCUCAGUCUGGUUUUGUUGUUUUGAGACAGGAUUUUGCAAUAGUAUCCCAGGUUAGAUUCCAACUCAGAGCUUUUUAUACCUUGGCCUCCAGAGUGCUUGACUUAUAGGCAUGCUUCACUAUACCUGCUUUCAACUGAUUCUGUAAACAUUCUUUCCCAUAGAAAUGGGAUGUUUUAUACUAAACAAUGGAAAUACAUUGUUUUUAUAGCAUUCAUAUUAAUUUCACUAGUAGCUGAUACCUUUGCAGCCUUCAACAGUAGCAAUUAACACCGAUUCUAAAACUAGAGGCCACUACUGAUGAAGAAUCAGCUACUAUUUAGAAAUAUGGCCAUAAUUUGUUAUAAGUUUGUGAACUAAUUAAAUUUACUUCUGUAUGCAUCAAUUUUUGGUGUGAAACUCUA